rnacentral:rRNA from 1 species
AGAGCGAACGCUGGCGGCAUGCUUAACACAUGCAAGUCACACGGGCAUUUCGGUGUCAGUGGCGGACGGGUGAGUAUCGCGUAGGGAUUUAUCGUUGGGUGGGGGAUAACCCUGGGAAACUGGGGCUAAUACCGCAUGACGCCUGUGGGCCAAAGCAGCAAUGCGCCUGAUGAGGAGCCUGCGUUCGAUUAGCUUGUUGGUGGGGUUAUGGCCUACCAAGGCGACGAUCGAUAGCUGGUCUGAGAGGAUGAUCAGCCACACUGGGACUGAGACACGGCCCAGACUCCUACGGGAGGCAGCAGUGGGGAAUAUUGGACAAUGGGCGCAAGCCUGAUCCAGCAAUGCCGCGUGGAUGAAGAAGGUUUUCGGAUUGUAAAGUCCUUUCGGCGGGGACGAUGAUGACGGUACCCGCAGAAGAAGCCCCGGCUAACUUCGUGCCAGCAGCCGCGGUAA